rnacentral:tRNA from 1 species
GGAUGGGUAGCUCAGUGGUUAGAGCCUAGGGCUCGUAACCGAAAGGUUCCGAGUGCGAACCUCGCAAGAGGCA